AGUCGAGCGAACAGAUAAGGAGCUUGCUCCUUUGACGUUAGCGGCGGACGGGUGAGUAACACGUGGAUAACCUACCUAUAAGACUGGGAUAACUUCGGGAAACCGGAGCUAAUACCGGAUAAGAUUUUGAACCGCAUGGUUCAAUAGUGAAAGACGGCCUUGCUGUCACUUAUAGAUGGAUCCGCGCCGUAUUAGCUAGUUGGUAAGGUAACGGCUUACCAAGGCAACGAUACGUAGCCGACCUGAGAGGGUGAUCGGCCACACUGGAACUGAGACACGGUCCAGACUCCUACGGGAGGCAGCAGUAGGGAAUCUUCCGCAAUGGGCGAAAGCCUGACGGAGCAACGCCGCGUGAGUGAUGAAGGUCUUCGGAUCGUAAAACUCUGUUAUCAGGGAAGAACAAAUGUGUAAGUAACUGUGCAC
rnacentral:rRNA from 1 species